rnacentral:pre_miRNA from 1 species
UAUUAGGUUGGUGCAAAAGUAAUUGCAGUUUUUGCCAUUGAAAGUAAUGGCAAAAAUCGCAAUUACUUUUGCACCAACCUAAUA